GACGAACGCUGGCGGCGUGCUUAACACAUGCAAGUCGAACGAAGAGCGAUAGAAGCUUGCUUCUAUCAAUCUUAGUGGCGAACGGGUGAGUAACGCGUAAUCAACCUGCCCUUCAGAGGGGGACGACAGUUGGAAACGACUGCUAAUACCGCAUACGAUCUAAUCUCGGCAUCGAGGAUAGAUGAAAGGUGGCCUCUACAUGUAAGCUAUCACUGAAGGAGGGGAUUGCGUCUGAUUAGCUAGUUGGAGGGGUAACGGCCCACCAAGGCGAUGAUCAGUAGCCGGUCUGAGAGGAUGGACGGCCACAUUGGGACUGAGACACGGCCCAGACUCCUACGGGAGGCAGCAGUGGGGAAUCUUCCGCAAUGGACGAAAGUCUGACGGAGCAACGCCGCGUGAGCGAUGACGGCCUUCGGGUUGUAAAGCUCUGUUAAUCGGGACGAAAGGCCUUCUUGCGAAUAGUGAGAAGGAUUGACGGUACCGGAAUAGAAAGCCACGGCUAACUACGUG
rnacentral:rRNA from 1 species